rnacentral:rRNA from 1 species
UACGUAGGGUGCGAGCGUUGUCCGGAAUUAUUGGGCGUAAAGGGCUCGUAGGCGGUUUGUCGCGUCGGGAGUGAAAACCAGGUGCUUAACACCUGGCUUGCUUUCGAUACGGGCAGACUAGAGGUAUGCAGGGGGAGAACGGAAUUCCUGGUGUAGCGGUGAAAUGCGCCAGAUAUCAGGAGGAACACCGGUGGCGAAGGCGGUCUCUGGGCAUGACCUGACGCUGAGGAGCGAAAGUGUGGGGGAGCGAACAGG